UGCGUAGAUAUAUGGAGGAACACCGGUGGCGAAAGCGGCUCUCUGGUCUGUAACUGACGCUGAGGCUCGAAAGCGUGGGGAGCGAACAGGAUUAGAUACCCUGGUAGUCCACGCCGUAAACGAUGAGUGCUAGGUGUUAGGUCCUUUCCGGGACUUAGUGCCGUAGCUAACGCAUUAAGCACUCCGCCUGGGGAGUACGACCGCAAGGUUGAAACUCAAAGGAAUUGACGGGGGCCCGCACAAGCGGUGGAGCAUGUGGUUUAAUUCGAAGCAACGCGAAGAACCUUACCAGGUCUUGACAUCCCGAUGCUAUUUCUAGAGAUAGGAAGUUUCUUCGGAACAUCGGUGACAGGUGGUGCAUGGUUGUCGUCAGCUCGUGUCGUGAGAUGUUGGGUUAAGUCCCGCAACGAGCGCAACCCUUAUUGUUAGUUGCCAUCAUUGAGUUGGGCACUCUAGCGAGACUGCCGGUAAUAAACCGGAGGAAGGUGGGGAUGACGUCAAAUCAUCAUGCCCCUUAUGACCUGGGCUACACACGUGCUACAAUGGCUGGUACAACGAGUCGCAAGCCGGUGACGGCAAGCUAAUCUCUGAAAGCCAGUCUCAGUUCGGAUUGUAGGCUGCAACUCGCCUACAUGAAGUCGGAAUCGCUAGUAAUCGCGGAUCAGCACGCCGCGGUGAAUACGUUCCCGGGCCUUGUACACACCGCCCGUCACACCACGAGAGUUUGUAACACCCGAAGUCGGUGAGGUAACCGUAAG
rnacentral:rRNA from 1 species